rnacentral:misc_RNA from 1 species
UAAUAAGUGUUUUAUGGCACUUUUUAAAUCCAUAUCCACCUUUGUGUGCAAUGUCAGUCGAUCUUCUUCAUGGAGAUCGACCAAACAUCAACCUUUAUCUUCUAACUCUUUGUCUGAAAAAUAUUAUGAAUAAACAAUUCAAAAUA